AAGUCAUGGUGUAGGCAUCUUCUCAAUAAUUCCUCAAAUCGCUCCCACGCCUCAAACAGUGAUUAUGUCUCAUUCUGUUGGAAGCAACAUAUUUCUAUCAUCAGCUU